AUCUGGAACUAAAGGAACAUCAGCAGAAGACCAAGUGGAUUUAAGGAUUAUUUUGGAGAUAAAUAAACACGUCUUCUAUUACAUGAAAAAAGAAGAACUUGAAUGACUUGAAGAAUCUGGACAAAUGAAGGACUGACGGUUCCUUCGUGGAGUUUUUUUUUUGACCCAGGCUCUGGACGUCUGAAGAUAAACCAGACCCGGUUCAUUUGUAGUCCUGGUUCUGGAGCUUUGGAUUCCACACCCUGAAGGCUUCAGGUCUUUGAAGGAUUAGACUCCGGAGGGUUCUCCGCAUAAUUCAUCCGACUCGGGAGAAGGUGAAGCUGAGGAGAUAACACCGACUUUGGGAUCCGGGUUCUGCAGAGUCCAGGAUCCAGGAAGGACCCUCUUGGGUGGGGGGGUGAGGUCUGGACGGACCCUGGAUGUGGAUUUACUUUGGACUCCGACACCUGUUGCGUUGACGGACGGACGUCGGCUUGUGUUUGGUUCAAGAUGAUGGAUUUCUGAAGAAUUUCCGUCAAACAUCGUCCAUUUUCCAACAUCAGCCAAAGUUUUUUUUGUCUUCGUUCAUUCGUUCGUCGUCUCCAGAACUCGUCUUCUGAAGGUCUUUCUGGUCUUUUCUCUGGAGGAAACCCCAGGACACAGAUUCAGUUCCUUCCUGUUUCCUGUCAUUCCGACCUGAGGGGAAAUGUGUGGUCGUCGGGUCGGACAUGAAACGGUCCGGUCUGAGCGCGGAC